rnacentral:lncRNA from 1 species
GCAUGAUGUGGCAGACAGCCCGCCCGCACAGGGUGUGCAGGGGACAGGUGCAGGGGCUGUCCCCUGUGGCCACUCAGACAGGGGCUCCAGCCCUCCUAGCCCGAGGGCCUAGGCUUCUACCUCCCUCCCUAGGACUUCUCCAGACCCACCCACCUCCCAGUUCCAGCUCCACCCCAGGCCAGGCUCCUCCCCACUCAUGACCCAGAACCCUCCUCUCAGGUCCCUUCCUGUCCAGCUGGUCCCUUCUCUCCGUGCACCACUCAGCAGCCUCCAUCCUCAUUUUCUCUCCACCCCAGCUUCCGCACUGGCCCCCACCCCUAGCCCUUCAUGUUCUAGCAGCUCACACCACCGCCCCAGCUGCCCCCCCACCCCCACCCCGGCACGUUGGCCCCUUCCAGGCCUUUGCUCUGUUGUCCCCUCUUCCUGAAAGCCCCUCCUCAUCCUCUUGCCUAGAAAGCAAUUCCUUUGAAGGACUUGGGUUCCACGGGCUCCCCCAGGGGUCUCCUUCCACCUGCUGCUCUCUCCUGCCUGGCUUAAGUGCCAAUUCUGUCAUAUCAGUGACCACGGCCACCCUGAUAACACCUUAAGAGCUUACCUAGUGCCCCUCUGGUUCCUCAGCCCUGAGCACAGGCCCAGCACCCCAGAGUCCCAGUUCCUCUGAGCGGAGCUCACACUAGGUGACCGAGGUGACUAGGUGACUGAGGUGACUCUGGUCAGUCCACUGGGUGGGUCCUCAUGAUACGGACCACAGGAAGUCUCCUCUCUUAACGCUCCUCCGAUUCCUCCAUCAGGCCAGCCUGGUACCACUGGGUCGUCACUACUUCCUCAACACUGUGACUGCCCUUCUUAAGAAGUCACUAUUACUGGACAUGUAGCAUUCGUGUACAGUGAUGGGUAUGGUGUGACAAUUCAAUGUCUAUGUCUACACCUAUGAUCGGAUCAGGGUCACCAGCAUUUCCUUCUCCCUAAGCAUAUGUCAUCUGUGCUGGGACCCCUAGAGCUCCUCCCCUCCACUCUCUUCUGCACAAGGAGAGGGAAGGCCCACGCAGGCGAGGCAUCUGGGUACACUGAGGACACCAUUCUGUCUUAUUCUACUUAUUUGUACAGGUUCCUUCCAUUUUAGAGCAAGUCACAUUGGUUUCCUAUGGAUGGCAGGGAUCUUCUGAAAUAAGUUACAUGAAUGUUAAGGGAGUUCAUUUUCAAAAGACAAAUGUCAGUCAAUAAUGGUACAGGUGGUGACAGACGGGGGGCGUAAAGCACCAACAGGUUUUGAAAACUUAGAGAACAUAAAAUACAUGUUAAGAUGGUAAUAUGUUGGUACAUUGGACUUAAUAAUAAAAUAUAUUUUUCACUUUGAUGAAAUAUCACAGAAACACACAUACACACACACACACACACAAAUAUAAAUACUGGUGAGAUCCCAGCGAGGCCUGGGGUCUGGCUAGUUGUACUGAGCCAGUGUCUUUGAAAACAUUCUAUUAUACAAAAAGGAAAGUGGUGAAAACUGUAUGAUGGGGACACAAGAUUCCUGUUACAGUUUAGGUAUGAGCGUCCCCCAACAGCUCAUGCGUGAGGCAAUGCAACAAUUUGCAGAGCUGAAACAAUUAGAUGAUGAAGGUUGUGGAUAUGGAUCAACUGGGCCGUAUCCUCAGGGUGUGGCGGCAGGAGGGGGGUCACUGGGCUGAGCCUUUGGAGUACACAUUUUGUCCCUGGUAAGUGGCGGUCUCUCUCCACUCUGUUGCCAUGUCCUGAGUUGUCUUCCCUCACCACGCCCUUCUGCCAUGACCUUCUGCCUCGCCUCAGGCCCAGAGCUGCGGACUCAACCUCUGUAGACGAAGACCCCUGAGACUGUGAGUCAAAAUAAGCCUUUUCUCCUCUGUGUUGUUCCUAUCAGGUCUUUUG